rnacentral:lncRNA from 13 species
AUGAUGUUCUUUAUCAACAGUGCUCUGUUUUUGAUGCUUGUGGCCACAACUGUGGCCCAAACAGGAGUUCCACAAUUAAGGUACAGUGUAGACCAGUGGACCAUCUCUGUGGAGAUUCCACAAACGUAUGACUCGGAUGAGCUGCAGCCGUAUGACUCGGAUGAGCUGCAGCCGUAUGACUCGGAUGAGCUGCAGCCGUAUGACUCGGAUGAGCUGCAGCCGUAUGACUCGGAUGAGCUGCAGCCGUAUGACUCGGUUGAGCUGCAGCCGUAUGACUCGGAUGAGACUCCUGGUGUAGAGGAACAAGGUCAACUGACGGUGUGUCCAGUCUGGCUCUUGUUACUGGUGGUCCCUCUAGUGUUGCUGACUGCUAUGGGAGCUUUGUCUGUGGGCUACUACAUGUGUGUGUGGAGGGGUGGUAGAAUAGGCUACUGGCCCAGCAGAGACCUAUUAACAAAAUGUUAACCAGUUUGCUUUCUGUUCUGAUUGGUUUGACAAUAAAUGAUUGCAUAAAUGUUUCUUCCUGCCUUUGUAAAGUCCUACACUGAUGUGUAAAUAGAUUACAUGAAAUGUCCACAAGAGGGCCUCGCAAUUCACUGACUUGUCAGUGAACCGCUUGCUACUGGGAAUUCUAUAUGCUACAAUUCAUCUGGACCUAGGAGAUUCCAGGCAGUCAAAGGUGUUCCUUUGGGAUGCGUUAUGUUCAUCUCCCAUGUUAGGGUUGGUAGUGUCAUUUAGGCUAAACUCAUUGAUCUUGUUUUGGUGAUGGCCAUGGGGUCACAUUGUGACAACUGGUGGUGCUCCUGACUGCUUGCUACACCUUCAGAAACAUUUUUUGCAGUAGUUCUAGUUUCUUUCUGCUGUGGCUUCAGGACAACUUUAAGGAUGCACUUGCAUACCACCAGCGGUCACAUUAACAUGUGGUGUGCCCUGCGCUAGAAUCAAUGAGACCAUCACUACCCAGGCGCAAAUCAGAGGAAAGGGGCAAUUGUUCAUCCGUCUCACCAAUGUCCCCCUUUUCCCAGCCCCUGUGAAUGCCCAUCACAUACAGGGAGAAUAAUUCAAUUCCUCAGCUGUCUCCUUUGGCCUCCUAAUGCCACCUGAUAUUGGUCAAGGGUGCCUCAUGUGUUUGCUCUAGGGCUGGUCCUCUCAACCCUGAAUGAAAACCUUACUAACACUGUGUACAUGCACUGCUCUCCAACCUGUCAGUCAGAA